UACGUAGGGCGCAAGCGUUGUCCGGAAUUAUUGGGCGUAAAGAGCUCGUAGGCGGCUUGUCGCGUCGGUUGUGAAAGCCCGGAGCUCAACUCCGGGUCUGCAGUCGAUACGGGCAGGCUAGAGUGUGGUAGGGGAGAUCGGAAUUCCUGGUGUAGCGGUGAAAUGCGCAGAUAUCAGGAGGAACACCGGUGGCGAAGGCGGAUCUCUGGGCCAUUACUGACGCUGAGGAGCGAAAGCCAGGGGAGCAAACGGG
rnacentral:rRNA from 1 species